UAAAAAAUAUUCAUAAUGGAACUUCUAUGAUGGGACAUAAGAAUUUACCAUUAGACUCUUGACAACUUUGACAGCCAUAUUCACACCAGGAAUUGUGUUUGUUAACUUUGAUGUACUGCAUAAUUCGAAUUCGAUGACCUCGAUUAGUCAACACAAAAGGUGUCCAAUGCUGGCUCCGCUUUUAGGCAGUGCCAGUGCCACGCGCGAGUAGUGACGUGAGGCUGCACGCUUAAAUUGCAGUUAGGAAGAAUAUAUUUUUAUCCAUCAUCCGUCGGUUUUGUUUACCAAAAUAAUUGCAAGCUAGAAUUCAAAGUCGUAUGUAGGGUUGGAUUAUCGGGGGCUUACCGGGUGACUUUUCGGGCUUCCGGGUUGGUCAGGACUUUUGAGAAACGACCCCCUGAUCCUAGAGGAAACGCCGUGACACCUAAAUAUACCAAAAUAUGGGGAAUUUGAUUGCCCCUAUUUAUGAGCCCCUGACGCCAAUGAAGCAAAAAAAUAUAAUCAAUGACAUCGGAAAAAAUAACUCCUUCAUUUCCCAUGCCCGGUUCUUCGACUACUAUUAAAAACCAACGAUAAAAUGCGCUAUUCAACUUUAUUGAGAAAAUUAUUAUAUUAUCUAAAUUCUUUAUCAAAUAUACAGAUACCUUUUGAGGGUUUAUCACAAUAUUAUAUCCUAGCAUUAUUCUUCCAUACCACUUAAUCUACUGAUAGUCUCAAUAUCAUCCUAGAUUUGUAGACAGGCGCGUACGCAGAAUUGGCUGAGAUGGGGGGGGGGAGGGGUGCGCAGUCAUAGGUAUCAUAUAGAAAAAGCACCCCCCUGUGUACGCGCCUGGUAGAAAAACUUCCAUCUAACUUGAUAUUAACCUGAGCUCAGUUUUACAAGCCCUUUUUGGCCAAGACUAGCGCUCAAACAUUUUAGCCGAACUCAAAGUUUAGCGCCCGCCCAAAAUUCAUUUUCUUGUUAGGGAGUGACGCUAUCUUUAAAUUCGGCCUAUAAUAUCAACGCAGUUAUGUCAUCAUAAUGAAAUACUGAGCAAUCCGGGAGGAAAUAGAAGAAUCUAAACAGGAUACCUGGACAGGAGAACAUGUUCUCCUGAUCCGAAUAAGAUAUUUAAUUAAGGCCCUGUUUUUCAUAUAGGUUCUUACAACAAAUAAAAGAGGCUUAAAUACUGCGUCUUUGUGGUAGUGCAAAAUUAAAAAAAAACACAUCUCGAAUAAGGCAAUAAAAUAACCGCUAAAUAUAUGUCAGUUAAUAAAUAGUGAAAUACAAUAUCUAUAUAUAUAGCAAAAAAUCUACAGCUCAUCAGAACACUGCUUAGCAGCCGCUCCUAGUUUUACAAACGUCCCCCAGCUUCUAUUGGCUGAGUGGCUGGUCGGUUAAUGACGUCACUUUGGCUGCUCGCCACGUAAUGGGACAGCUUAUCGCAUACUGUAGAAUGCAUGACUACAGAGAGCUGUCACUAAACGCCUAGGGAUGACGCUACCCAAUACUCAAAACCUCUGAAAAUCUGUAAACAAGCUAAAACGUGUAAAUUUGUGUCACAGUGCUGUUAACAGUCGACUAGAAAAGGAUACAAUUUUUGUCGGGGGCUUUUUUCUUGAGAAAAUCCAGUACGGCACAAAUAGGGGACGCACUCAAUCAAGCAGCAUUUAAACAAUCGAAAACUGAAAUUUCUACCCCUCAAAACUGCAUAGAAAGGAUAAUGAAUGGUAGUAAGGCUUGACUAUCUACAAGUUUAUCGAUUUCUGGAUUUCUUCCAGAAAUCUGUAAACAAACUAAAACGUGUAAAUUGGUGUCACAGCGCUGUUCACAGUCGACUAGGAAAGGGUACAAUUUUGGUCGGGGGCUUUUUUCUUGAGAAAAUCCAGUACGGCACAAAUGAGGGGACGCACUCAAUCAAGCAGCAUUUAAACAAUCGAAAACUGAAAUUUCUACCCCUCAAAACUGCAUAGAAAGGAUAAUGAAUGCUAGUAAGGCUUGACUAUCUACAAGUUUAUCGAUUUCUGUUAGUAUCAUACCAUUCACGAAUCACCAUUAUUCUUGUUUUCCAUUUUGAUAUUGCAUCUUCGCAUUAUACGUUUUCUUCGCAUGCUUGGGUGAACUCAAGUAAAACCCACUCAGAAUAUCAGACCAGAAGUUCCAAACAGUCCAAACCAGCAUACUGAUCAAGCCAAUCGCCCAGAAAGCGGUGAUAUGAGGAGGGAAAGGCGUGAAGAUGGUCUGAGGGUCGAAUUUAAGGCAGAUAAGAACCUCGGUGGCGAUUAUGGCCGCCACUACCCACGCCUGUUGACCAAAUCGCUUCACAUUCCUU